rfam:Picea glauca, whole genome shotgun sequence.
UUAACGGUGUCUUUAGACACCACCUUUUGUAUUCGAAAUUAUAUUU